CGAAAACGAAUUCUCUCUUGAGUGGAUCCUGAGUACGACGGAGCACGUGAAAUUCCGUCGGAAUCUGGGAGGACCAUCUCCUAAGGCUAAAUACUCUCUAGUGACCGAUAGUGAACCAGUACCGUGAGGGAAAGGUGAAAAGUACCCCGGAAGGGGAGUGAAAGAGAACUUGAAACCGUGUGCUUACAAGUAGUCAGAGCCCGUUAAUGGGUGAUGGCGUGCCUUUUGUAGAAUGAACCGGCGAGUUACGAUCUGAUGCAAGGUUAAGCAGAAAAUGUGGAGCCGUAGCGAAAGCGAGUCUGAAUAGGGCGAAUGAGUAUUUGGUCGUAGACCCGAAACCAGGUGAUCUACCCUUGGUCAGGUUGAAGUUCAGGUAACACUGAAUGGAGGACCGAACCGACUUACGUUGAAAAGUGAGCGGAUGAACUGAGGGUAGCGGAGAAAUUCCAAUCGAACUUGGAGAUAGCUGGUUCUCUCCGAAAUAGCUUUAGGGCUAGCCUCAAGUGAUGAUUAUUGGAGGUAGAGCACUGUUUGGACGAGGGGCCCCUCUCGGGUUACCGAAUUCAGACAAACUCCGAAUGCCAAAUAAUUUAACUUGGGAGUCAGAAUGUGGGUGAUAAGGUCCAUAUUCGAAAGGGAAACAGCCCAGACCACCAGCUAAGGUCCCAAAAUAUAUGUUAAGUGGAAAAGGAUGUGGCGUUGCCCAGACAACUAGGAUGUUGGCUUAGAAGCAGCCAUCAUUUAAAGAGUGCGUAAUAGCUCACUAGUCGAGUGACACUGCGCCGAAAAUGUACCGGGGCUAAACAUAUUACCGAAGCUGUGGAUUGUCCUUUGGACAAUGGUAGGAGAGCGUUCUAAGGGCGUUGAAGCAUGAUCGCAAGGACAUGUGGAGCGCUUAGAAGUGAGAAUGCCGGUGUGAGUAGCGAAAGACGGGUGAGAAUCCCGUCCACCGAUUGACUAAGGUUUCCAGAGGAAGGCUCGUCCGCUCUGGGUUAGUCGGGUCCUAAGCUGAGGCCGACAGGCGUAGGCGAUGGAUAACAGGUUGAUAUUCCUGUACCACCAUUAUUCGUUUUAAGCGAUGGGGGGACGCAGUAGGAUAGGCGAAGCGUGCUGUUGGAGUGCACGUCCAAGCAGUGAGAUUGAGUGUUAGGCAAAUCCGGCACUCUUAAGAUUGAGCUGUGAUGGGGAGAGGAACUUGUUCCUCGAGUCGUUGAUUUCACACUGCCGAGAAAAGCCUCUAGCUAGAAUAACGGUGCCCGUACCGCAAACCGACACAGGUAGUCAAGAUGAGAAUUCUAAGGUGAGCGAGCGAACUCUCGUUAAGGAACUCGGCAAAAUGACCCCGUAACUUCGGGAGAAGGGGUGCUCUUUGAGGUUCACGCUUCGAAGAGCCGCAGUGAAUAGGCCCAAGCGACUGUUUAUCAAAAACACAGGUCUCUGCUAAACCGUAAGGUGACGUAUAGGGGCUGACGCCUGCCCGGUGCUGGAAGGUUAAGAGGAGUGGUUAGCGCAAGCGAAGCUACGAAUCGAAGCCCCAGUAAACGGCGGCCGUAACUAUAACGGUCCUAAGGUAGCGAAAUUCCUUGUCGGGUAAGUUCCGACCCGCACGAAAGGCGUAACGAUUUGGGCACUGUCUCAACGAGAGACUCGGUGAAAUCAUAGUACCGGUGAAGAUGCCGGUUACCCGCGACAGGACGGAAAGACCCCGUGGAGCUUUACUGUAGCCUGAUAUUGAAAUUCGGUACAGUUUGUACAGGAUAGGUAGGAGCCUUAGAAGCGUGAGCGCUAGCUUACGUGGAGGCAUUGGUGGGAUACUACCCUAAUUGUAUUGGAUUUCUAACCCGCAGCACUUAUCGUGCUGGGAGACAGUGUCAGGCGGGCAGUUUGACUGGGGCGGUCGCCUCCUAAAGAGUAACGGAGGCGCUCAAAGGUUCCCUCAGAAUGGUUGGAAAUCAUUCAUAGAGUGUAAAGGCAUAAGGGAGCUUGACUGCGAGACCUACAAGUCGAGCAGGGUCGAAAGACGGACUUAGUGAUCCGGUGGUUCCGCAUGGAAGGGCCAUCGCUCAACGGAUAAAAGCUACCCCGGGGAUAACAGGCUUAUCUCCCCCAAGAGUUCACAUCGACGGGGAGGUUUGGCACCUCGAUGUCGGCUCAUCGCAUCCUGGGGCUGUAGUCGGUCCCAAGGGUUGGGCUGUUCGCCCAUUAAAGCGGUACGCGAGCUGGGUUCAGAACGUCGUGAGACAGUUCGGUCCCUAUCCGUCGUGGGCGUAGGAAAUUUGAGAGGAGCUGUCCUUAGUACGAGAGGACCGG
rnacentral:rRNA from 1 species